UUCAUACUCCCUCCGUCCCAAAAUUCUUGUCUUAGAUUUGUCUAGAUACAGAUGUAAUACAAAAUCUAAGACAAGAAUUUUGGGACGGAGAGAGUAUUUC
rfam:Triticum aestivum genome assembly, contig: Triticum_aestivum_CS42_TGACv1_scaffold_080875_1DS